GAGGAAGAUGCUCUAAAGACGGAGAGAAAAGAAGAAGAGGGUCAAUCUUUUUUUUCUUUCUUUUCUUCACCGUCUUCCUCUAUUACACUCCGAGAUCAGACGCUGCCUUUGAGCCAUUGAUAUUACAUUUCAAAGCUUCUUCCCCACUGAAACCCCUUUUCAUUAUUUUCCCACAAUUUUUUCUCAAUUUCCCUGUUUCUGUGUUCUCAGAUUGGCGCAAUUUCUGUUUUUCUUACGGAACACAAAAAUUCUCCCAUUAUUUAGUAGCGAUUAUCUUAAUUUUUUUUUUUUUUUUUUACAAAUAACCAAUACCCAGAUCUGGGUUUUUCAUUUGUUUCACUCGUUAAUCCUGUUGACCAACAUUUGACGAUUGAUUUAACCCCAAAACUACGUAGCAGUGUCCAUUGGCUACUUUAUUGGGAACCCUUUUGUUCUUUUGGGUGACCCUUUUGAAUUCUCUUUCUCGUCCUGUCAAAUUUGGGGGAAAAUCUUUAGUUUGAUCGAUUAAUGGCGGCUUCGAGGAAUGUGGGGAUGAGGGAUGAGGAGAAACUGAAGGAAGAUGACUCUCCGACGGCCAAGAAGCCUAAAUUUGAAAGGUUUCCAUUGACAAAGUGGGAGCUAGCGGCUGCUCUCGGCAUCUUCCUUCUCUGCUCCACUGGCCUUGUUUGUGUGUACUUGACGAUGCCCUCUGCAGAAUACCAGAGCGUUAAGCUCCCACGAACACUUUCGGAUCUUCGUGUGCUUAAGGAUCUCUUUGCAAAUUAUGCCAAAGAUCAUCCAGCACAAUUCAUUCUAGGUUAUUGCUCUACCUACAUAUUCAUGCAAACAUUCAUGAUUCCUGGAACAAUUUUCAUGUCAUUGCUUGCUGGAGCUCUAUUUGGUGUUAUCAGAGGCCUUCUAUUAGUUGUCUUUAAUGCAACGGCUGGGGCAUCCUCUUGCUUUUUUCUCUCUAAGUUGAUUGGAAGACCUUUAGUUUAUUGGAUGUGGCCUGAAAAGUUGAAAUUGUUCCAGGCAGAGAUAGCAAAGCAUCGAGAAAAGCUACUCAAUUAUAUGCUCUUUCUUAGGAUAACACCAACAUUACCAAACCUUUUUAUCAACUUGGCUUCACCUAUUGUUGACAUCCCAUUUCAUGUUUUCUUCUUGGCAACUUUAAUUGGCCUUGUUCCAGCAUCCUACAUCACAGUCAGAGCUGGACUUGCACUUGGAGAGCUGAAAUCAGUCAAGGAUUUAUACGAUUUCAAAACUUUGUCUGUACUUUUCUUUAUUGGCUUUAUCUCCAUUCUACCUACACUUCUAAAGAGGAAGCGAGUAUACGAAUGACGGCAAAUUUUCAGGGCUCCGUCAUUUCUGCCUGAGCCAUGUCUAUGGAUGGCUGCUAUUACAGAUUGAUAUUGGUUUCAAAUGCUCUGAUUGAUGAUAAUACUAUACUAGCUGUGGCAAUACCGCGUCGAUUCAGACGCAAACUGUACCAUCAAGCUGUUGUAUAGCUCGGAUGAUACAUUCAGAAGAUGAUAAUAGGCAGUUGUUUGGAGGCUUUAAAAAGAAAAAAUAGGUGAAGAUAUUUUAAAUUCACAUUAGGAGCUCACUGAUUACAAUCAAUAUAGGUUAUUUACAUUUUAUCAUAAUUUUUUGUUGCAUCGUGUAUUGAAAACGCAUACAGGAUCUAAACAGGUUACAAAUUAAAAAAUAACUUUUUUUUUUUUUUUGCUCUCUAGAUCUAUACAUAUUCCAAUGAUCUUCUUGGUUAA